rnacentral:rRNA from 1 species
GGCAGCAGUGAGGAAUUUUCUGCAAUGGGCGAAAGCCUGACAGAGCAAUACCGCGUGAGGCAUGAAGGCCUACGGGUUGUAAACCUCUUUUUUCAAGGAGGAAGAUCUGACGUUACUUGAAGAAUAAGCAUCGGCUAACCCUGUGCCAGCAGCCGCGGUAAUACAGGCGAUGCAAGUGUUAUCCGGAAUCAUUGGGCGUAAAGCGUCUGCAGGUUGAUCUCUAAGUCUUUUGUUAAAUCUUUGGGCUUAACCUGAAAUCUGCAAAGGAAAGUAUAGAUCUUGAGUAUAGUAGAGGGAAAGGGAAUUUUCAGUGGAGCGGUGAAAUGCGUAGAUAUUGGAAAGAACACCAACAGCGAAGGCACUUUCCUGGGCUAUUACUGACACUCAGAGACGAAAGCUAGGGGAGCAAACAGGAUUAGAUACCCUGGUAGU